CGAUAACAGAUCCUGUCUCUUAUGUUUUGUUGCGAUGAUGAGCUGCUCUGUCUCCCUUCAUGUUCUUUGUUAGGAGUUUUCUAGAGCUAUGCCACAACGAAGCCAGCAGCGGUUUGAAUGAGGAUAUGUCUCUGACAGAAGUCUCGGUUGCCGUCAUCCUGGUGACAUUGUCACUAUCCCAACCAGGACUUGUGACUCAGCUUGAACUUGAGCGCUGAUGACACAGACUCAAGCUUGGACUCAAGCGCUGACUGCAUUCAGACUCGGAAGCUGGAGACUUAAGCUGUUUUCAGGUAGGACACUGUAUGCGCAGGGCUCGCCACAGGGAGCAGAGUGCAGUACCCACCACGUCCUAUCUGAAAACGGCUUUAGACCUG